GGCCGCGGGAAUUCGAUUCAGGCCUAACACAUGCAAGUCGAACGAUGAAGCCCAGCUUGCUGGGUGGAUUAGUGGCGAACGGGUGAGUAACACGUGGGUGAUCUGCCCUGCACUCUGGGAUAAGCCUGGGAAACUGGGUCUAAUACCGGAUAUGACCUCUUGCUGCAUGGCGAGGGGUGGAAAGUUUUUCGGUGCAGGAUGAGCCCGCGGCCUAUCAGCUUGUUGGUGGGGUAAUGGCCUACCAAGGCGACGACGGGUAGCCGGCCUGAGAGGGCGACCGGCCACACUGGGACUGAGACACGGCCCAGACUCCUACGGGAGGCAGCAGUGGGGAAUAUUGCACAAUGGGGGAAAGCCUGAUGCAGCGACGCCGCGUGAGGGAUGACAGCGUUCGGGUUGUAAACCUCUUUCAGCAGGGACGAAGCGAAAGUGAC
rnacentral:rRNA from 1 species